CCAGACUCCUACGGGAGGCAGCAGUGGGGAAUAUUGGGCAAUGGGCGCAAGCCUGACCCAGCAACGCCGCGUGAAGGAAGAAGGCUUUCGGGUUGUAAACUUCUUUUGACAGGGAAGAGUAGAAGACGGUACCUGUCGAAUAAGCCACGGCUAACUACGUGCCAGCAGCCGCGGUAAUACGUAGGUGGCAAGCGUUGUCCGGAUUUACUGGGUGUAAAGGGCGUGUAGCCGGGUUGACAAGUCAGAUGUGAAAUCCUGCGGCUUAACCGCAGAACUGCAUUUGAAACUGUUGAUCUUGAGUACUGGAGAGGCAGACGGAAUUCCUAGUGUAGCGGUGAAAUGCGUAGAUAUUAGGAGGAACACCAGUGGCGAAGGCGGUCUGCUGGACAGCAACUGACGGUGAGGCGCGAAAGCGUGGGGAGCAAACAGGAUUAGAUACCCCAGUA
rnacentral:rRNA from 1 species